rnacentral:lncRNA from 1 species
AGAGUAGCUGUGGGAGGUACAGCUCAGAAUGCGCCUGUUUGUAGAUACCAGAAUGGCUAGGAAGUUGUGAAUGAAAGGCACAGGCUUUCAUAAGGUCUCAGGGCACCCUGAAGAGGGUCUCCAGGUGACUGGGACCUGCUCACCCAGGCCUAGACAGAACUCCCGGGCUGUGAGGAAGCCAGUGUGGGCCUGGUCCAGACUUUCAAAUACAGCCUCCAGCUGUUCAGGCGUAAGUGGAAGAUCACUCUGCAGACCCUGACCAGGCAAGAAGGACCACGGCACGGUCACCACCCCACCAACCGCUCCAGUGUUCCUCGGGACCGGAGGUCCAUCCUGGCCGGAAGCCGCGCUGCCGCCAGGCUCCAGGGAGUCCAGACGAAAGGCAGCGGGUGGGCCCACAGGCAAAUCUCAUCCACGCACGUCUGGGCUAGCUGCCUUCACCCGAGGAACACAGCCGUUCCAGACAGAGAUGCGUGCGAUGGCUGCUCUACACAGCGCUCGGAAGGUGCGACCACUGGAGCUAGGGGCCCGGGGUUGGGGGUGGGGAAGCCCAGAGGGCGCGGCGCUGGGACCCCAGUCGCGGGACCUGCGAGCAAAUAAAUGCCUACCUGCGAGCCGCGCCGCCGCACCUGCCGCAGGCGGGCCGCUCCUCCCGGAAACGCGCGCGGCGCGCCCCGCCCCUGCCUGGACCCCGAUAGCCCGCGAGGGGCGCGUACCCAGAGCGACCUUGCGGCCUUACAGGCCCGGAGACCCCGGGAUAGCACGUCCGGGUGGAUCCUCCACCAGAGCGCUGCUGUAGUUUUGUCCCGCCUCUCUUAUCCUGGUGACCCGACCCAGAGUGGCUAGCUCUCCCCGGAGAGCCACAGGGGGCAGCAAAGUUGUAUCCCUCACUCCCACCAUCUCCCCAGCUCCCCCCAAGACCCUUUUAGAACAAAAUCAAGGCUGGGGAGGUGCAGAUGCCAACCCCCACCCCGCCCGGAGUAUCCAGACUUAGGGUGCCAAGAAGUGUUGUGUAGGAAAAUGCGGAGCAGGAAAUAAACCAAAUACUUUCAGUGGCUGUAAAAAAAAAAAAAAAAA